GGGUUGUGAGGUUAAGCGACUAAGCGUACACGGUGGAUGCCCUGGCAGUCAGAGGCGAUGAAGGACGUGCUAAUCUGCGAUAAGCGUCGGUAAGGUGAUAUGAACCGUUAUAACCGGCGAUUUCCGAAUGGGGAAACCCAGUGUGAUUCGUCACACUAUCAUUAACUGAAUCCAUAGGUUAAUGAGGCGAACCGGGGGAACUGAAACAUCUAAGUACCCCGAGGAAAAGAAAUCAACCGAGAUUCCCCCAGUAGCGGCGAGCGAACGGGGAGCAGCCCAGAGCCUGAAUCAGUGUGUGUGUUAGUGGAAGCGUCUGGAAAGGCGCGCGAUACAGGGUGACAGCCCCGUACACAAAAAUGCACAUGCUGUGAGCUCGAUGAGUAGGGCGGGACACGUGGUAUCCUGUCUGAAUAUGGGGGGACCAUCCUCCAAGGCUAAAUACUCCUGACUGACCGAUAGUGAACCAGUACCGUGAGGGAAAGGCGAAAAGAACCCCGGCGAGGGGAGUGAAAAAGAACCUGAAACCGUGUACGUACAAGCAGUGGGAGCCUCUUUUAUGGGGUGACUGCGUACCUUUUGUAUAAUGGGUCAGCGACUUAUAUUCUGUAGCAAGGUUAACCGAAUAGGGGAGCCGAAGGGAAACCGAGUCUUAACUGGGCGUUAAGUUGCAGGGUAUAGACCCGAAACCCGGUGAUCUAGCCAUGGGCAGGUUGAAGGUUGGGUAACACUAACUGGAGGACCGAACCGACUAAUGUUGAAAAAUUAGCGGAUGACUUGUGGCUGGGGGUGAAAGGCCAAUCAAACCGGGAGAUAGCUGGUUCUCCCCGAAAGCUAUUUAGGUAGCGCCUCGUGAAUUCAUCUCCGGGGGUAGAGCACUGUUUCGGCAAGGGGGUCAUCCCGACUUACCAACCCGAUGCAAACUGCGAAUACCGGAGAAUGUUAUCACGGGAGACACACGGCGGGUGCUAACGUCCGUCGUGAAGAGGGAAACAACCCAGACCGCCAGCUAAGGUCCCAAAGUCAUGGUUAAGUGGGAAACGAUGUGGGAAGGCCCAGACAGCCAGGAUGUUGGCUUAGAAGCAGCCAUCAUUUAAAGAAAGCGUAAUAGCUCACUGGUCGAGUCGGCCUGCGCGGAAGAUGUAACGGGGCUAAACCAUGCACCGAAGCUGCGGCAGCGACACUGUGUGUUGUUGGGUAGGGGAGCGUUCUGUAAGCCUGCGAAGGUGUGCUGUGAGGCAUGCUGGAGGUAUCAGAAGUGCGAAUGCUGACAUAAGUAACGAUAAAGCGGGUGAAAAGCCCGCUCGCCGGAAGACCAAGGGUUCCUGUCCAACGUUAAUCGGGGCAGGGUGAGUCGACCCCUAAGGCGAGGCCGAAAGGCGUAGUCGAUGGGAAACAGGUUAAUAUUCCUGUACUUGGUGUUACUGCGAAGGGGGGACGGAGAAGGCUAUGUUGGCCGGGCGACGGUUGUCCCGGUUUAAGCGUGUAGGCUGGUUUUCCAGGCAAAUCCGGAAAAUCAAGGCUGAGGCGUGAUGACGAGGCACUACGGUGCUGAAGCAACAAAUGCCCUGCUUCCAGGAAAAGCCUCUAAGCAUCAGGUAACAUCAAAUCGUACCCCAAACCGACACAGGUGGUCAGGUAGAGAAUACCAAGGCGCUUGAGAGAACUCGGGUGAAGGAACUAGGCAAAAUGGUGCCGUAACUUCGGGAGAAGGCACGCUGAUAUGUAGGUGAAGUCCCUCGCGGAUGGAGCUGAAAUCAGUCGAAGAUACCAGCUGGCUGCAACUGUUUAUUAAAAACACAGCACUGUGCAAACACGAAAGUGGACGUAUACGGUGUGACGCCUGCCCGGUGCCGGAAGGUUAAUUGAUGGGGUCAGCGCAAGCGAAGCUCUUGAUCGAAGCCCCGGUAAACGGCGGCCGUAACUAUAACGGUCCUAAGGUAGCGAAAUUCCUUGUCGGGUAAGUUCCGACCUGCACGAAUGGCGUAAUGAUGGCCAGGCUGUCUCCACCCGAGACUCAGUGAAAUUGAACUCGCUGUGAAGAUGCAGUGUACCCGCGGCAAGACGGAAAGACCCCGUGAACCUUUACUAUAGCUUGACACUGAACAUUGAGCCUUGAUGUGUAGGAUAGGUGGGAGGCUUUGAAGUGUGGACGCCAGUCUGCAUGGAGCCGACCUUGAAAUACCACCCUUUAAUGUUUGAUGUUCUAACGU
rnacentral:rRNA from 1 species